rnacentral:rRNA from 1 species
UACGUAGGCAGCAAGCGUUGUUCGGAGUUACUGGGCGUAAAGGGUGUGUAGGCGGUUCUUUAAGUUUGGUGUGAAAUCUCCCGGCUCAACUGGGAGGGUGCGCCGAAUACUGAGGGACUAGAGUACGGGAGAGGAAAGUGGAAUUCCUGGUGUAGCGGUGAAAUGCGCAGAUAUCGGGAAGAACACCCGUGGCGAAGGCGGCUCUCUGGAACGCAACUGACGCUGAGACGCGAAAGCGUGGGGAGCAAACAGG